rnacentral:rRNA from 1 species
AGUGAACGCUGGCGGUAGGCCUAACACAUGCGAGUCGAACGGCAGCACAGGAGAGCUUGCUCUCUGGGUGGCGAGUGGCGGACGGGUGAGGAAUACAUCGGAAUCUACUUUUUCGUGGGGGAUAACGUAGGGAAACUUACGCUAAUACCGCAUACGACCUACGGGUGAAAGCAGGGGAUCUUCGGACCUUGCGCGAUUGAAUGAGCCGAUGUCGGAUUAGCUAGUUGGCGGGGUAAAGGCCCACCAAGGCGACGAUCCGUAGCUGGUCUGAGAGGAUGAUCAGCCACACUGGAACUGAGACACGGUCCAGACUCCUACGGGAGGCAGCAGUGGGGAAUAUUGGACAAUGGGCGCAAGCCUGAUCCAGCCAUACCGCGUGGGUGAAGAAGGCCUUCGGGUUGUAAAGCCCUUUUGUUGGGAAAGAAAUCCAGCUGGUUAAUACCCGGUUGGGAUGACGGUACUCAAAGAAUAAGCACCGGCUAACUUCGUGCCAGCAGCCGCCGUAA